CCUACGGGUGGCAGCAGUGAGGAAUAUUGGUCAAUGGGCGUAAGUCUGAACCAGCCAAGUCGCGUGAGGGAUGAAGGUCCUAUGGAUCGUAAACCUCUUUUAUAAGGGAAUAAAGUGUGGGACGUGUCCUAUUUUGUAUGUACCUUAUGAAUAAGGAUCGGCUAACUCCGUGCCAGCAGCCGCGGUAAUACGGAGGAUCCGAGCGUUAUCCGGAUUUAUUGGGUUUAAAGGGUGCGUAGGCGGCUUGUUAAGUCAGCGGUGAAAGUCUGUGGCUCAACCGUAGAAUUGCCGUUGAAACUGGGAGGCUUGAGUAUGGUAGAGGCGGGCGGAAUGCGUGGUGUAGCGGUGAAAUGCUUAGAUAUCACGCAGAACCCCGAUUGCGAAGGCAGCCCAC
rnacentral:rRNA from 1 species